rnacentral:rRNA from 1 species
CAUGCAAGUCGAACGAUGAAGCCCUUCGGGGUGGAUUAGUGGCGAACGGGUGAGUAACACGUGGGCAAUCUGCCCUUCACUCUGGGACAAGCCCUGGAAACGGGGUCUAAUACCGGAUAACACUCUGUCCCGCAUGGGACGGGGUUGAAAGCUCCGGCGGUGAAGGAUGAGCCCGCGGCCUAUCAGCUUGUUGGUGGGGUGAUGGCCUACCAAGGCGACGACGGGUAGCCGGCCUGAGAGGGCGACCGGCCACACUGGGACUGAGACACGGCCCAGACUCCUACGGGAGGCAGCAGUGGGGAAUAUUGCACAAUGGGCGAAAGCCUGAUGCAGCGACGCCGCGUGAGGGAUGACGGCCUUCGGGUUGUAAACCUCUUUCAGCAGGGAAGAAGCGAGAGUGACGGUACCUGCAGAAGAAGCGCCGGCUAACUACGUGCCAGCAGCCGCGGUAAUACGUAGGGCGCAAGCGUUGUCCGGAAUUAUUGGGCGUAAAGAGCUCGUAGGCGGCUUGUCGCGUCGGAUGUGAAAGCCCGGGGCUUAACCCCGGGUCUGCAUUCGAUACGGGCAGGCUAGAGUGUGGUAGGGGAGAUCGGAAUUCCUGGUGUAGCGGUGAAAUGCGCAGAUAUCAGGAGGAACACCGGUGGCGAAGGCGGAUCUCUGGGCCAUUACUGACGCUGAGGAGCGAAAGCGUGGGGAGCG